GCUCAGGUAGCUCAGCUGGUAGCACAUCAGACUCUCAAUCUGAUGGUCCAGGGUUCAAGCCCCUUUCUGGGCA